rnacentral:miRNA from 10 species
GAUGUUGACAUGUAUUAGGUUGGUGCAAAAGUAAUUGUGGUUUUUGCCAUGAAAAGUCAUGGUAAAAACCGCAACUAUUUUUGCACCAACGUAAUAUAUAGAAUGCCCCUCAACCUGGGUUUGU